GACGAACGCUGGCGGCGUGCUUAACACAUGCAAGUCGAACGGAAAGGCCCUGCUUGCAGGGUGCUCGAGUGGCGAACGGGUGAGUAACACGUGGGUGAUCUGCCCCUGACUUUGGGAUAAGCCUGGGAAACUGGGUCUAAUACCGGAUAUGACCAAGGAUUGCAUGGUUCUUGGUGGAAAGCUUUUGCGGUUGGGGAUGGGCCCGCGGCCUAUCAGCUUGUUGGUGGGGUAAUGGCCUACCAAGGUGACGACGGGUAGCCGACCUGAGAGGGUGAUCGGCCACACUGGGACUGAGACACGGCCCAGACUCCUACGGGAGGCAGCAGUGGGGAAUAUUGCACAAUGGGCGCAAGCCUGAUGCAGCGACGCCGCGUGAGGGAUGACGGCCUUCGGGUUGUAAACCUCUUUCAGCAGGGAAGAAGCGCAAGUGACGGUACCUGCAGAAGAAGCGCCGGCUAACUACGUGCCAGCAGCCGCGGUAACAC
rnacentral:rRNA from 1 species